UGCAAGCGCACUCUGUGUCACGUUGAUAUCACAUGUGAUGACAAUUUGUAAACUUGCUAAAUUAAACGUAAGCUGCGACUUAUCCAUGUGCUCAAGUCUUAAACUCCAAUUGAGGACAUUGAAUGCGCGCCUUACAAAGCCAA
rfam:Drosophila busckii chromosome 2R sequence.